CGGCGCACCACCACCUGACUGACCCCAAGGGCGCCGCCGCCGUAGCCCCUCUUCUUCAGCGAGGUUCGUCCAACGGCGGGUUACUGUCUCCGCUCCCUGCUUCCAUUGAGCACCCGGUGCAGGCUACGUCCUCAAUCCCCGGGCAGGCCACGUCUCGUCAGCGGCGACUGCCGACUCCCGGCGCGCCUCUGCUCCUCCACCGUCCAUCUAGUCAGCGGCGACCGGCGGCUUGACGCCCCACCGCCGCUGCCCUUCCUCAUCACCUCCACGUGUGGUCCCUUUGGUAAUAAAGUGAACAGCGUCAGACAACGCUAAGACCCGCUGUCAAUCUCAUCAUCUCCUAGAGUUUGCUACAGUUGCCUUCUCCAACUCAUCGAUGGCUUCCUCCUCAUCCCCACGUCCACUCGAGCCUGUUGCUGACCUCCCAUCGUCCUGCAGUCCUGCAUCUCAUCAUCCUCUGAAGUUUAUAACUGAUGUUGGAUUAACUGUCUCUCAUGCUGAAAGCAAGGUUUCACCUUGCCAACAGGCUGAUGGUUCUCCAAG